rnacentral:rRNA from 1 species
AAUCAACGCUGGCGGCGUGCCUCAGACAUGCAAGUCGAACGCGAAAGGCUCCUUCGGGGGCCGAGUAGAGUGGCGCACGGGUGAGUAACACGUAGGUAAUUUGCCUUUGGGUGGGGAAUAACUCAGGGAAACUUGAGCUAAUACCGCAUAAUGCAGCGGCUCGACAUCGAGACAGUUGUUAAAGCGGGGGGAUCGCAAGACCUCGCGCCUGAAGAGAAGCCUGCGGCAGAUUAGCUAGUUGGUAGGGUAAUGGCCUACCAAGGCGACGAUCUGUAACCGGCCUGAGAGGGCGGUCGGUCACACUGACACUGACAUACGGGUCAGACUCCUACGGGAGGCAGCAGUCGGGAAUUUUUGGG